CUUACCCACUCUUGACAUCCUUCGCAAAGCUAUAGAGAUAUAGUGGAGGUUAACGGAGUGACAGAUGGUGCAUGGUUGUCGUCAGCUCGUGUCGUGAGAUGUUCGGUUAAGUCCUGCAACGAGCGCAACCCCUAUCUUUAAUUACUACAUUAAGUUGAGGACUUUAAAGAUACUGACCAAGCAAUUGGUAGGAAGGUGGGGAUGACGUCAAAUCAUCAUGCCUCUUACGAGUGGGGCAACA
rnacentral:rRNA from 1 species